rnacentral:SRP_RNA from 1 species
GGGCGGGUCCGGCGCGGCAGAACCCUGCGAACCCCGUCAGAUCCGAGAGGAAGCAGCGGUAAGGAGGAUAUUCUGGGUGCCGCCGGGCAGCCUGCCCGGA